rnacentral:misc_RNA from 1 species
AAGUCGUAACAAGGUCUCCGUUGGUGAACCAGCGGAGGGAUCAUUAAUGAGUUGCAAAACUCCAACCAUCGCGAAUAUCACCUAUUGCAGUUGCUUCGGCGGGUGGCUCUGAGAGGAGUCACGCUCCCUUACGGGGAGCAUGCCCGCCGGAGUCGUACAAACUCUGUAUUUUUUGGCAUCUCUGAGUAACUUUUACAAUAAGUUAAAACUUUCAACAACGGAUCUCUUGGUUCUG